rnacentral:rRNA from 1 species
AGCCCUACGGGGCGCAGCAGUGGGGAAUAUUGCGCAAUGGGGGGAACCCUGACGCAGCAACGCCGCGUGAGUGAAGAAGGCCUUCGGGUUGUAAAGCUCUUUAAUCAGGGACGAAGAGUGACGGUACCUGAAGAAUAAGCUCCGGCUAACUACGUGCCAGCAGCCGCGGUAAUACGUAGGGAGCAAGCGUUAUCCGAAUUUACUGGGUGUAAAGGGCGUGUAGGCGGGCCUGCAAGUCAGAAGUGAAAUCUGAGGGCUUAACCCCCAAACUGCUUUUGAAACUGUGGGUCUUGAGUGAUUGAGAG